AUUGAACGCUGGCGGCAUGCUUUACACAUGCAAGUCGGACGAGUGGCGAACGGGUGAGUAAUAUAUCGGAACGUACCGAGUCAUGGGGGCUAACUAAUCGAAAGCUUAGCUAAUACCGCAUAUUAUUCGAGCGGCCGAUAUCUGAUUAGCUAGUUGGUGGGGUAAAGGCCUACCAAGGCGACGAUCAGUAGCGGGUCUGAGAGGAUGAUGGUCCACACUGGGACUGAUACACGGCCCAGACUCCUACGGGAGGCAUCAGUGGGGAAUUUUAGACAAUGGGCGCAAGCCUGAUCCAGCCAUGCCGCGUGUCUGAAUAAGGCAUUCGGGUUGUAAAGGACUUUUGUCAGGGAAGCGGUACCUGAAGAAUAAGCACCGGCUAACUACGUGCCAGCAGCCGCGGUAAUAC
rnacentral:rRNA from 1 species